GCUGUUCCCUCCAAGGUGAUAGCAGGGAAUAAAAUUGGAACAUACAGAAAAGAUUAGCAUGGCCCCUGUGCAAGGAUGACACGCAAAUUUGGGAGGUGUUCCAUAUUAAA
ensembl:snRNA U6 U6 spliceosomal RNA